ensembl:lncRNA
AGAGUACAGUAAAGGGGAAGAGAGGACAGUAGAGGUGAAGAGAGGACAGUAAAGGGGAAGAGAGGACAGUAGAGGACAGUAUUGGUGAAGAGAGGACAGUAGAGGACAGUAGAGGUGAAGAGAGGACAGUAGAGGACAGUAGAGGACAGUAGAGGACGGUAGAGGACAGUAGAGGUGAAGAGAGGACAGUAGAGUACAGUAGAGGACAGUAGAGUUGAAGAGAGGACAGUAGAGGACAGUAGAGGACAGUAGAGGACAGUAGAGGACAGUAGAGGUGAAGAGAGGACAGUAGAGGUGAAGAGAAGACAGUAGAGGACAGUAGAGGUGAAGAGAAGACAGUAGAGGUGAAGAGAGGACAGUAGAGGUGAAGAGAGGACAGUGGAGGACAGCAGAGGUGAAGAGAGGACAGUAGAGGUGAAGAGAGGACAGUAGAGGACAGUAGAGGUGAAGAGAGGACAGUAAAGGACAGUAGAGGUGAAGAGAGGACUGUAGAGGACAGUAGAGGUGAAGAGAGGACAGUAGAGUACAGUAGAGGACAGUAGAGGUGAAGAGAGGACAGUAGAGGUGAAGAGAGGACAGUAGAGGUGAAGAGAAGACAGUAGAGGUGAAGAGAGGACAGUAGAGGACAGUAGAGGACAGUAGAGGUGAAGAGAGGACAGUAGAGGUGAAUAGAAGACAGUAGAGGACAGUA